GGCACUAUGGCCGAGUGGUUAAGGCGACAGAUUCGAAUUGGAUGGUCAGCAUCCGAGUCCCAUCUGUUUCCCUAUGGGAGCGUGAGUUCAAAUCUCACUGGUGUCG